rnacentral:rRNA from 1 species
UACGUAGGGUGCAAGCGUUGUCCGGAAUUAUUGGGCGUAAAGAGCUCGUAGGCGGUCUGUCGCGUCGGCUGUGAAAACCCGGGGCUCAACCCCGGGCCUGCAGUCGAUACGGGCAGACUAGAGUGUGGUAGGGGAGACUGGAAUUCCUGGUGUAGCGGUGAAAUGCGCAGAUAUCAGGAGGAACACCGGUGGCGAAGGCGGGUCUCUGGACAGUUCCUGACACUGAGGCACGAAGGCCAGGGGAGCAAACGGG